rnacentral:rRNA from 1 species
CGUAACAAGGUCUCCGUUGGUGAACCAGCG